CCCGCUGAACUUAAGCAUAUCAAUAAGCGGAGGAAAAGAAACUAACAAGGAUUCCCCUAGUAGCGGCGAGUGAAGCGGGAAGAGCUCAAAUUUGAAAUCUGUCUUGGGAACAAGGUCGAAUUGUAGUUUGUAGAGGGGCGAUUGUGAGAGGACGCAGGGCAAGUCUCUUGGAACAGAGUGCCGCAGAGGGUGAGAGCCCCGUUGGCCUGCAGAAUCGAGCGUGUAUCGGACCUUCAAAGAGUCGGGUUGUUUGGGAUUGCAGCCCCAAGUGGGUGGUAAACGCCAUCUCAAGCUAAAUAUUGGCGAGAGACCGAUAGCGAACUAGUACCGUGAGGGAAAGAUGAAAAGAACUCUGGAAAGAGAGUUAAACAGUAUGUGAAAUUGUUGAAAGGGAAAGGGAGGGUAGAGUGGAUGGCCUGCUUGAUCAGACAGAGGAAUCUGUUGUAGUCGAGCAGGGCAGAUCCGUGUGGGUGUGGUGUCGCGGGGAGGCGCAGCAAGGUAGGGAUUUAUCCUGUUAUAGGCUGUGCGGUCGCGGGGCAGCAGUCCGAGGAGCAGUACGGUAGUACGACACGGAACUCUCACCUCCCACCCGUCUUGAAACACGG
rnacentral:rRNA from 1 species